AAGUCGUAACAAGGUCUCCGUAGGUGAACCUGCGGAGGGAUCAUUACUGAGUUACACUCAAACCCUGUUUAAGAAUCUGUUGCUUCGGAGGCGCCCCUCGGGAGGGGAUUUGCUUCGGCCGCCUCCAAAAGCACCUUUACUCUUAACUUUGAUUUAUCUAUAUUCAAUCCAAAAAAAUCAAAACCUCAACAACGGAUCUCUUGGUUACA
rnacentral:misc_RNA from 1 species